rnacentral:rRNA from 1 species
UACGGGGGGUGCGAGCGUUGUCCGGAAUCACUGGGCGUAAAGGGCGCGUAGGUGGUUUGAUAAGGGUGUGGUGAAAGUCCGGGGCUCAACCCCGGAUCUGCCGUGCCGACUGUCAAACUCGAGGACUGUAGAGGCAGACGGAAUUCCGGGUGUAGCGGUGGAAUGCGUAGAGAUCCGGAGGAAGACCGGUGGCGAAGGCGGCGACC